GGCUUUAUAGUAAAAAUUGAAUAAUAUCAGAUUGCAAGUCUGAAGAUGUGUUAACACUGAAGCUU
rnacentral:tRNA from 1 species